AAAGAAAGGAAACGCCCACGUGGAGGAGUCCUCUUCUGCCAUGCUUGCUGCCUCGUUCUUGAUUGUUUCUGGAAGCAACUCUGAAUAAACAGGAUGCUUGGAGCUGUGGCAGGAUAGACAGUGGGACUUAGCUUUGCACAAGGUGGACAUGAAAUAAAUGAGUGAUCACUCUACUCCAUCCUGAACAGAAGUUGGUGCAGCAAUUUGGUGACAGAACCAAAGCCAGAUGGGUAAUGUGUCUAGUGAGAGAGAGUGCACAAGCAAGGGGAGCAACAAAGGUAGAGUGAGAAGCA